UCAGGAAAAACAAAUUUGUUGAAAAAUUGAAAGAGCUACAGAUAAAACACGGGAGUUUGAUAAAUUUUCUUCAAAUUUGUCCCACUGAAUCAACACUUCGUGUUGAAGCUGCUUUUGCCUUCGCAAUACUUUUAGAACUGUGUCAUGCAAGCCAGAUUGAACUGAUUCAAGAAGUUGCUUAUGCGCCAGAUAGAUUAUUCAUCAAACUCAAAUUCGAAGAGCGAGUAUGAAAUAACUAUUCGUGAUACAAGUUCCUAUUACUCAUGAGUUGUUUACAAGAUACCAUACCUAUACCUAUUGAUUUAUGUUAAAAAGUGAUACAAAAUUGAAUUUUCAAUUUCUACUUUAUUUUUGUGUAUAGGAUUCUAACUAUUUUAUUAACAUUAUGAUUAAUUAAUGUUAUGAAUUUAGAAAAUAUUGAUGCAAUCAAUAUAGAAAAAACUAUUAUUUUGAUAAAAAAAGUUGUGGUAGUUGCAAAACAAAAUCUCAGACGAAAAAAACUAAACUAAGAAUGUUUAGUUAGGAUUAAGGUGAACUAUGAUUAUGAAUUAUUAUUAAAUUGUCAAAAGACCCAUUGGUGGACUGGAAUUGUCAAACAUAGCCGUGCCAUAUAAAUUGUUAUAUGAUAUAAUAUUAUAAUUAUUAUUUAUUAUAAUUAAUCGAAAAAUUUAUUACUCUUAUAUACUUUAAUGUUAUAUUACUUUGGUGCUGAUAUUUAUAAUCAUAACUUCAUUAUCAUGACUAGAUAAGAAUUCGAUUUUGUUAAUAUGUUACCUACCCUGAUCUCUGUGCACUAGAAUUAACAUCCUUCAUAUCAUUAUAAAUUUGAGUAGUGGUUUUAGAUACUGAUCAUUUUAUUAGUAAUAUCUGUCUAAUCUUUAACACAUAAAAAUAGUAUUAUUAGUUUGUAUUUUUAUGUUCAGAUCGUCAGAUAUCUCUCUUGUCAUUCAAUUUCAAGUCUCCUAUGAUUUAUUCAAAAUGUUUAUUGAGCAUACAUUUGUAAAAUAUGCGUUUUUUAUGUUACGUGCAGGUAUUGCUGAUAGUAUUGGUCAAAAUAAUAGUUCCUUUUCAUCAAGAUUGAGCUCAUACAAUCCUAUCCUACCUAUAAUCAAAUUAUGUAAUUAGAUUAUUUAUUACCAUUCACUACUUCCUUUAAUUAUUUAGUUAUACAAUCUUCUGAAAGGAAAUGUUUUGAAAGUCCAUUUAUCUGACAUAGAAUAGUUUCAGUCAUUAACAUUUCCACUGAUAUUUAAUUAUCGUAGGCUACCGGUUACGGUUAUAAUUAUUUAUUGGAUUAGAUUUUAGAGAAUGUAUUUUUACGAUCUUGAGUGUCAGUCAGUUUAUAUCAUACAUAGUAAGGAAUCAUUAAAAUAACCUGUGAUAAGAUUACAA